rnacentral:rRNA from 1 species
GAUGAACGCUGGCGGCGUGCCUAAUACAUGCAAGUCGAGCGGAAAGGCCUCUUCGGAGGUACUCGAGCGGCGGACGGCUGAGUAACGCGUAGGAACGUACCCCAAACUGAGGGAUAACUGCUCGAAAGAGUAGCUAAUACCGCAUGUGCUCUACGGAGUAAAGCUUCGGCGGUUUGGGAACGGCCUGCGUAAGAUUAGCUUGUUGGUAAGGUAAUGGCUUACCAAGGCGACGAUCUUUAGCUGGUCUGAGAGGAUGAUCAGCCAGACUGGGACUGAGACACGGCCCAGACUCCUACGGGAGGCAGCAGUAGGGAAUUUUCCACAAUGGGCGAAAGCCUGAUGGAGCAACGCCGCGUGCAGGAUGAAUGCCUUCGGGUUGUAAACUGCUUUUAUAAGUGAAGAAUAUGACGGUAACUUAUGAAUAAGGAUCGGCUAACUCCGUGCCAGCCGCCGCCGUAA